UGGGGAAUAUUGCACAAUGGGCGCAAGCCUGAUGCAGCCAUGCCGCGUGUAUGAAGAAGGCCUUCGGGUUGUAAAGUACUUUCAGUCGGGAGGAAGGUGGUAAGGUUAAUAACCUUGGCAAUUGACGUUACCGACAGAAGAAGCACCGGCUAACUCCGUGCCAGCAGCCGCGGUAAUACGGAGGGUGCAAGCGUUAAUCGGAAUUACUGGGCGUAAAGCGCACGCAGGCGGUCUGUCAAGUCGGAUGUGAAAUCCCCGGGCUCAACCUGGGAACUGCAUUCGAAACUGGCAGGCUAGAGUCUUGUAGAGGGGGGUAGAAUUCCAGGUGUAGCGAUGAAAUGCGUAGAGAUCUAGAGGAAUACCGGUGGCGAAGGCGGCCCCCUGGACAAAGACUGACGCUCAGGUGCGAAAGCGUGGGGAGCAAACAGG
rnacentral:rRNA from 1 species